ACCUAAUUAUCCACAAAGCUUCCAUCAAUGCAGUACCACAGACUUUGUUAAAACUCCUUGUAUGGAGAAGGUUCUUUCACAGCUGGAUACAUGUGCUGUAUAUCCAAGUUGCUAUGAGAGCAUGAGCACAGUGCUGAGAGGGAACUGUCACCUCUUCAAAGGUGCUCGGGGCAGGGAGCAAUGCACCAGCCUGGGUGAAGGGAGCAGGUGGAGGUGUGAGGUGGAUUUAGAUCUUACUCUUGAAGUACAAGGCAGGUAAGCUAUUGGCUAUGAUUCCUCAUUGGUCACAGAAAGUAGGCAUACUUUUCCAGAGACAAAGAUGGAUUCCUACACAUGUGGAUGAGAGCUUUAGGCUUCCUCACUGCUGGAGUCUGUUUUCAAUUAAAGUUAUUUUAAUUUUAAGUCUAAUUUCUUGCAGCUUUUCUGACUGCAUCACUUUCAGACAUUAAAAUAUCACAAAACAUCCCAAAGUACACACCUC